rnacentral:rRNA from 1 species
CUACGGGAGGCUCCAGUGGGGAAUAUUGCACAAUGGGCGCAAGCCUGAUGCAGCAACGCCGCGUGAACGAUGAAGGCCUUCGGGUUGUAAAGUUCUUUUCUUAGGGAAGAAUAAAUGACGGUACCUAAGGAAUCAGCCCCGGCUAACUACGUGCCAGCAGCCGCGGUAAUACGUAGGGGGCAAGCGGUAUCCGGAAUCACUGGGCGUAAAGGGAGUGUAGGCGGUCAAGCAAGUCAGGGGUGAAAGGCAUCGGCUCAACCGAUGUAAGCCUUUGAAACUGUUUGACUUGAGUGCAGGAGAGGUAAGUGGAAUUCCUAGUGUAGCGGUGAAAUGCGUAGAUAUUAGGAGGAACACCAGUGGCGAAGGCGACUUACUGGACUGUAACUGACGCUGAGGCUCGAAAGCGUGGGGAGCGAACAGGAUUAGAUACCCCUGUAGUC